rnacentral:rRNA from 1 species
AUGCUCUUGACGCGCGGGUUCCGGCGCGCCGCCGUGCCCCGCCUCGCGCGCCGCGACAUGUGUGGUGCGGCGGCUCGGCGCACCACAGCGUCGGGUUUGGUGGCGGUGGCCGGGGGCGGAGCGAGCUUCCACGACUACGACGCCGCCAUCACGGCGUGCGUCGAGAGGCGGGCGCUCAAGCAAGGAAGGCAGGUGCACGCGCACAUGGUCACGGCGAGGUACCGCCCGCCCGUGUACCUGGCCACGCGGCUGGUCAUCAUGUACGCGAGGUGCUGCGCGCUGGACGACGCGCGCAACGUGCUCGACGGGAUGCCGGAACGGAAUGUGGUGUCCUGGACGGCCAUGAUCUCGGGGUAUUCGCAGAGCGGCCGGCACGUUGAGGCGUUGCAGCUGUUCAUCCGGAUGCUUAGAGCUGGAUGCAAGCCUAAUGAAUUCACUUUCGCAACUGUUCUUACAUCAUGUUCUGGCUCUCAAAGCAUACACCAGGUCAAGCAAGUCCAUUCUCUCGUUGCCAAAACAAAUUUUGAGUCGCACAUGUUUGUUGGGAGCUCCCUUCUUGACAUGUACGCCAAGGCAGGGAAUAUCCAAGAAGCUCGAAGGGUGUUCGACAUGCUUCCGGAAAGAGACACUGUUUCCUGUACCGCCAUUAUAUCUGGCUAUGCUCAGCUGGGCCUUGAUGAUGAAGCCUUGGACUUGUUCAGGCAGUUGUACAGUGCAGGGAUGCAAUGCAAUUAUGUUACUUUUACGACCCUUCUCACUUCAUUAUCUGGGCUGGCCUCCCUGGAUUAUGGCAAGCAAGUUCAUGGACUAAUACUUCGUAAAGAGUUACCAUUUUUCGUUGUUCUACAGAAUUCUUUGAUUGAUAUGUACUCCAAAUGCGGCAAGUUGUUAUACUCGAGGAGGGUAUUUGAUCACAUGCCACAGAGAUCAGCCAUCAGUUGGAAUGCAAUGCUUAUGGGAUAUGGUAGACAUGGCAUAGGACAUGAAGUCGUUCAGCUCUUUAGAACUAUGACCGAAGAAGUGAAGCCUGACAGCGUUACCCUGUUGGCUGUUUUAUCUGGUUGUAGUCACGGUGGGCUGGUUGAUGAGGGCCUUGACAUAUUCGAUCUUAUAGUAAAAGAACAAAAUGCUGUUCUCAGCAUUGGGCAUUAUGGGUGUGUUAUUGAUCUUCUUGGACGCUCUGGACGACUACAGAAGGCUUUAGAUUUGAUACAAGAUAUGCCAUUUGAGCCGACUCCAGCAAUUUGGGGUUCAUUGCUUGGUGCUUGCAGAGUUCAUGUUAACGUUAGUGUUGGUGAGGUUGUUGCUCAGAAGCUUCUGGACAUGGAGCCAGGAAAUGCUGGAAACUAUGUGAUCCUUUCUAACAUUUAUGCUGCUGCUGGAAUGUGGAAAGAUGUUUUCAGAGUUAGGAACUUAAUGCUGGAGAAGACGGUGACCAAGGAACCAGGGCAGAGCUGGAUAAUUCUUGACAAGGUUAUCCACACCUUCCGCUCAAGUGAUCGUUUACAUCCCAGGAAGAAAGAUAUAGAUGCUAAGAUAAAGGAGAUAUAUGUUGAUAUUAAAGCAGCUGGCUUUGUUCCGGACCUGAGCUGUGUUCUGCAUGAUGUUGACGAUGAGCAGAAAGAACGCAUGCUUCUUGGUCACAGUGAGAAGCUGGCAGUAACUUUUGGACUGAUGAACACCCCUCCAGGCUUGACUAUCCGGGUUAUGAAGAAUCUUCGUAUCUGUGUUGACUGCCAUAAUUUUGCGAAGUUUGUUUCAAAAGUUUAUGGAAGGGAGAUAUCUCUCAGGGAUAAAAAUCGGUUUCAUCUACUUACAGAUGGAGCUUGCACUUGUGGAGAUUACUGGUGA